rnacentral:rRNA from 1 species
AGUGAACGCUGGCGGUAGGCCUAACACAUGCAAGUCGAACGGCAGCACAGGAGAGCUUGCUCUCUGGGUGGCGAGUGGCGGACGGGUGAGGAAUACAUCGGAAUCUACUUUUUCGUGGGGGAUAACGUAGGGAAACUUACGCUAAUACCGCAUACGACCUACGGGUGAAAGCAGGGGAUCUUCGGACCUUGCGCGAUUGAAUGAGCCGAUGUCGGAUUAGCUAGUUGGCGGGGUAAAGGCCCACCAAGGCGACGAUCCGUAGCUGGUCUGAGAGGAUGAUCAGCCACACUGGAACUGAUACACGGUCCAGACUCCUACGGGAGGCAGCAGUGGUGAAUAUUGGACAAUGGGCGCAAGCCUGAUCCAGCCAUACCGCGUGGGUGAAGAAGGCCUUCGGGUUGUAAAGCCCUUUUGUUGGGAAAGAAAUCCAGCUGGCUAAUACCCGGUUGGGAUGACGGUACCCAAAGAAUAAGCACCGGCUAACUUCGUGCCAGCCGCCGCGGUAA